UACGUAGGGUGCGAGCGUUAAUCGGAAUUACUGGGCGUAAAGCGUGCGCAGGCGGUGAUGUAAGACAGAUGUGAAAUCCCCGGGCUCAACCUGGGAACUGCAUUUGUGACUGCAUCGCUGGAGUGCGGCAGAGGGGGGUGGAAUUCCACGUGUAGCAGUGAAAUGCGUAGAGAUGUGGAGGAACACCGAUGGCGAAGGCGACUUACUGGACACAUAUUGACGCUGAGGUGCGAAAGCGUGGGGAGCAAACAGG
rnacentral:rRNA from 1 species